rnacentral:rRNA from 1 species
ACGCAACUUGCUCUCGGGUGACGAGCGGCGGACGGGUGAGUAAUGUCUGGGAAACUGCCUGAUGGAGGGGGAUAACUACUGGAAACGGUAGCUAAUACCGCAUAACGUCGCAAGACCAAAGUGGGGGACCUUCGGGCCUCAUGCCAUCAGAUGUGCCCAGAUGGGAUUAGCUAGUAGGUGGGGUAAUGGCUCACCUAGGCGACGAUCCCUAGCUGGUCUGAGAGGAUGACCAGCCACACUGGAACUGAGACACGGUCCAGACUCCUACGGGAGGCAGCAGUGGGGAAUAUUGCACAAUGGGCGCAAGCCUGAUGCAGCCAUGCCGCGUGUGUGAAGAAGGCCUUCGGGUUGUAAAGCACUUUCAGCGGGGAGGAAGGCGUUAAGGUUAAUAACCUUGGCGAUUGACGUUACCCGCAGAAGAAGCACCGGCUAACUCCGUGCCAGCAGCCGCGGUAAUACGGAGGGUGCAAGCGUUAAUCGGAAUUACUGGGCGUAAAGCGCACGCAGGCGGUCUGUCAAGUCGGAUGUGAAAUCCCCGGGCUCAACCUGGGAACUGCAUUCGAAACUGGCAGGCUAGAGUCUUGUAGAGGGGGGUAGAAUUCCAGGUGUAGCGGUGAAAUGCGUAGAGAUCUGGAGGAAUACCGGUGGCGAAGGCGGCCCCCUGGACAAAGACUGACGCUCAGGUGCGAAAGCGUGGGGAGCAAACAGGAUUAGAUACCCUGGUAGUCCACGCCGUAAACGAUGUCGAUUUGGAGGUUGUGCCCUUGAGGCGUGGCUUCCGGAGCUAACGCGUUAAAUCGACCGCCUGGGGAGUACGGCCGCAAGGUUAAAACUCAAAUGAAUUGACGGGGGGCCCGCACAAGCGGUGGAGCAUGUGGUUUAAUUCGAUGCAACGCGAAGAACCUUACCUGGUCUUGACAUCCACAGAAACUUUCCAGAGAUGGAUUGGGUGCCCUUCGGGAAGCUGUGAGACAGGUGCUGCAUGGGCUGUCGUCAGCUCGUGUUGUGAAAUGUUGGAUAGGUCCCGCACGAGCGCAGCCUAAUUCGUUUGUUUGCCAUCGUCCAGGCUGGUACUGCAAGCAGACUGACA